CAAGGGUCAUGGUGGUGGUCAUGGUCAUGGUCAUGGAGGCGGUCAUGGAGGUGGAAAGGGUCAUGGCGGCAAAGGUCAUGGUGGUGGCCAUGGGGGCAAGGGACACGGAGGCCAUGGUGGCGGACACGGGGGCAAAGGACAUGGAGGCGGCCAUGGAGGAAAGGGGCACCAUGGAUAAACAUAGCAGCUGAAAGAUGUGUCACGAGAAAGCCCUUGUUUUUUAUUCCACUGCUGCUGGACAACGGGGAAACAACAACUCAUGUAAAACAUGAUGAUCUUGUAUUUUGUUUGACCAGACCUCUGAAUAAAAAUACACUCCAAAGUGUUAAAUCUGA